CUGGUAUAUAAAGACACCAGAUCCGUUUGGUAUUACAUUACAUUAUUAUCAUAAAGUGAGUUUAUUAAUUAAUUUGCUAUUGAAUAUUUAGUAAACUGUAUCCAAAUUUAUUGCGACAACGUUUGAAUAUCAGCCGUCCAUUUUUAUAUCGGAACGUGUCACAACUCGCAAAUUCUCAACUACUUUAUCGUCGUAAAAAUCGUAAUUAUUAUUAUUAUCAAAACCUAAUAGAGUUGUUCGAGUACUUGAUGUCGUUGAGUUUUCUCUAGUCGAGUACUCGGACUCGAUAAUGUAACAAUAACUAUAUAUAAAUAUCUUCAAACCCAGAUAUUUCCGAUAUGAAUACUAUGUUCAUGAUUUUUAUUUUACAACACAUAUAUUGUUAUUAUAAUACAAAAGUAUUAUGAUAACGAAAUUUGUAUUUAAUUUAGAGUUGGUCGAAUAAUGCACUCGACAUAUUUUUUUUUUGGUAUUCUGCAAUUCGAGUACUUGACUUUUGAACUUGACUCGACUCGAUUUCAAAAAAAUCAAAAUUCGCUCAACUCUAAGCCUAAUAAGCUUAAUUUGUAAUCUCACUAAGACAACUGUAUGUCCAUUCAGGAUCCAUCCAUUGAAAAUAUGCUGUCGAAAUGUAUCGUUUCUUCUGUCGUUGUCUUUUUUGUAAUGACAAAUCUUCUACAUGGAGCUCCGCCUGCAACUGAUCCUGGAAGUGACACACCUGACUCAAGCGACAAUUCUUCCUCAUUUUUCUGUCCAGAUAAUUCAACACAACCAACUAAUGCAACAUGUUGCCCAACAACCUGUUUUAAUAAUACUAAAGAUGCCACUGCAAAUUGUAAGGAUGGAUCAUCAGAAUUGCCAGGUGUACCGGGUUGUUUUUGCUGUAAUUAAUAAUAAAGUUCGGUAACAAUAUUGUUAUUAGAUAAGAACUUUAAAAUUUAAAUCCAAUUCCGAAAGUAUUAAAUACAUUUACAUUUAUCAAAUUAUCUUUUUGUAUUUAUAUAAUAUUAAUUUUAAUUUAAUCAAACAUUACUAAAAAUCGAAUUCCCGUGAUUUCCAACAAAUUGUAUUAGCUAAUUUAAACUUUCCUAUGGGUGAAAUUUUUUUUUUAUGAUUUUAAAUAAUUUAAUUUAAUACACUAUGUUCCACCACUCAUUAUGUAUUAAUAUUUUCCAUUUUUAAAUAAAUGUAUACAUUUUCAGAUAUGUUGCAAUAUUAUUUUAUUUCUACAAUUAUUAAAAUAUUGUGUCCACUUCCAAUGAAGUAUACAUAGUGAAUAUGUGGUACUGGUUUGUUUACACCAAUCUGCAGUAUUUGGAACAAUACAAUAUUGUAAUGUUCGCUGAUGAAGAAAAAAAAAUGGUCGCACGAAAUUGAUUUGUUUCAAAUUGAAUGUAUAACAAUGGUGCCGUUAAAAAUAUAAGUUUUUUUUUUUAUUCAACAUCAGCGAACAUAACAAAUUUAUGUUAUCCCGAAAACUGCAAAUUGGUGAAAACACACCACCACAUGGUCAUUAUAUAUUUUAUAUUUGAAGGGGGCACAAUAUUUUAAUAUUUGUAGAAAUAAAAUAAUAUUGUAACAUAUUUUGAAAAACCUACAUUUAUUUAAAAAUGAAAAAUAAUAAUACAUAUGGUGUUGUAGGACAUAGUGUAUUCUAGUGGCUUUUAAAAAACUAAAAUAAAGUAAAUUCUAAACAAUUAUGCUUUCAAGGUUAUGGUCUUUUAAUUAUUGGCAUAAUUUAUUUAAUAUAAUAUUGAAUAAUAUCUUAAUAAGCGUUUUUAUAAUUUAUCCAUGUAGACAAUUAUUUUUUAACGAAUGUAUUAUAUAUUUCUACAAUCUCUAUUAUUUCUAUUGGAUGUAUACUGUAUAGAUGUAUUCUUCUUCUCCUUCAUGUUUAUCUCAACUGGUGGUCGGCCAACUUUGUCUUAAACGUUUACUUGAACCGAUCUCCCACAUACCAUUUUAAAUCGCAUUCAAUCGCUUCCUUUGUCGAUUUUCUUCUUUCCAUCUUUUUUUCUAUAGUUAUUUCCAACAUCUUUACUGCUUCCGAUUCAUUUCUCUUUAACUGGCUUUUAGGACUUAUUCGAAGGAUUUUUGUCAACUACACAUUUGAUUUAAUUAAGCCUUACUUAUAGAAAUAGUACCAUGAUUUCAAAACACAAUAUCAAAUAGAUAAAAAUGGUAACAUUAUUUUGCUUUUUAAUAUAAUAAUUUAAAAUUUAAAAUAUAAAGUAGAAAAAAAAUAAUAAACAUAUACCUAUGUGUUUAAAAUAUAUUAUUAUCAGGCUUAACAGCCAGUCGAAUGACACCUCUGUUUGUACCGGAGAUAUUUUUGACUGGAGUUAUUUCGUCCUAGAGAACCCACAAUUUCAUCCGCUGGCUACAUUGGGGAGACUAUAGAAGUGUAUAAACCUAACAAGCUAAAAACAACCAUCUACCUUUUUAAUUUUAACUGGUUAGUGCCCAUCUUUGUCAAAAAGCGUAAUCCAUACAUAGAAAACCUACAAUAAUACUAAUAAUUAAUAAAGUAAUACAAUAAUAGUUGGUUUUUCACAGAAAUAGUCAUGGAUGUUUUAUUGAACUUACUACUAAGUACUCCUACUUGCACCUGAUUCUGCGGAUAGUUGUACUACUGUUGUAGGUGAAAAGUUGACAAGGUAGGAUCCAUACAGUUAUUAAAUUUAUAUCUGUAAACAUCAAUAAACCAUUGCUCACGGAAUAGGAUUAUAGACGAAGUUCAGUUACACAUAUUUUGAAAUGCUAUGUAUUAUUGUGAUUUUCAUCAAAUAUGAUCUUAAAACACUUGUAAAUAUAAACUCCUACAUUACGAACAAUGUAAAAGAAGAAUUCUAAUUCAAGAGCUGGUCCUUGUGCUUCACUUAUAAUACGGUUACCAAAACCGAAUACAUUUUUUACAUUUUUUGUAUUUAUAUUAUUAGAUAAAUCUCUCUCAAUAUGUAGCAUAAGAAAAUAGGUCAUGGAAAAUGCUAAAAUUAAAACUAUUGUGGUCAUAGAGAUAAGUGACAACUGUUCACAGCCGUCGCGGACCGCGGUACGAAUUAAUAGCGCCGGGAGUGGAGGGAGUGAAAUCUUUAGUUACCACAUAUAAACAUUGAGGGUUUGAACCCCCAAAACCCUUGAAGCAUACAAAAUAUGUGAUAUUAACUUAAAUAUUUACGUACUUUUAUCAGUAAACUAUGUAAGUCCACGUGGUUUCUCGAUGGGUUAACAUGUUGCUUCUCAAUAGAGUUUAUCGAAUUUGAGUAUGAUCUUUUUGUUCAAAUAUUUUACUUGGUUUUUUUACUCGUUACUUACUUAACGAAGUUUUUCUAGGUAACAAAUCGGGGUUUAUUUUUAAUUGAAAAUCUGACAUGAUCUCACACUCGAAUUGGCGAGCGAAAAAGGCUGUACAUUGAUCGCAUAAACAUCCAUCAACCUACAUAUAGUUACGUAGAAGGCUACGUCAUAUCGAUUAUAUCAUAAGGAAUGACCGUUUUGAGUGCAGUAUUACUAGUCCUAGUAUUACUCGUGUCAAUUAAAUACUUUUAAAUUUUAAAUACUGAAUUUUUAAAAUAUCUUUUCAAAAACCGAAAUCAUAAAAAAAAAAAUUAAUUUAAUGUUUGAUCCCUAUUUUUAUCACAGUUAUUUGAUUAUUUUUGCCUAAUAAUUUAUUUUUUAAAGGCUGCUUCCUUAUCCAUAAUAUCAAAAUUUCUUAACAUUUUAUAAUAUUUUCAAAUUUCUUGUGAUUCCUGGAAUCAACGAAAAAAAAACAAUCGUUGAACAAUUUCAUUCACAGAGUACCUAAAGAAACACAGAGUUCCUAAAGAAACCUACACCAAAUAUAAAUGACGUAAUAACAUACAAAAUACAAAUUUCUACAAAUAGAUAGAUAAAAAAAUCUAGAAAUUAAUCUAGAAAACACAAAUAUAAAUUUUGUGUCAAAAUGUCAAGCACUAACGAAUAUUUUUAACGGAUUUAUAGCAAAGAAACAAAAUUGAGAAUAAUAAAAACAUUAUUUUCGCAAAUUUUCUUGUUCAUUAUAAAUUUUUGUUCGGUUUUGUUCAAUUAUUAAAAAAACUACAAAAAAAAUUAAAAAACAAUUUUCCUACUCACCAACUAUAUUAAAAAUGCAACAAAAAGGAUAUUUUAUUGUUUUUCUAUUGGAGAAAAAUUACGGGUAGAAAACAUAAAGCAUACCAAUUUAAAAUAAUAAAAUCCUAACACUGUAAAUUUAUCAUUUUUCAUUUUUUGUCUUUUUUUGGGCUUCCAAAUUUGUAUGGAAUCAAUAAAUGAACAAUAAACUUGAUCAUCUAGAUCCAAAACAUAACAAAAAAUGUAACUUGGAAAUUUUUUUGAUUAAAGUAAUAUUUCUGUUUUCCUAAUUUCUUUGCUUUCGCUUUUUAUAACGUUCAUUUUUAUUAAAUUGAACAAAAUACACACAGAGCUUCGAUCAAGUACACACAGGCUGAUAGUUAAAUUACAUUAGUGAACAUAUUAUCUAUAUUUUAGAUUAUAACUAAACUUUUAGUUUUACAGCUGAUAGAAAAUCAGAAUAUCCCGGACUACAAUUUAUGUGCAUUUCAAAAACACCGGUCGAUGGUACAUUUAAAGAUUAGUAAUACUCAACGAUAUGGAUUAUAUUAUAUUCACUUAUAUAAAUCUUUACGGUUUUGCGUAGUUCUGUGAGUAUUUUUUUUUUUUAAUAAAAAGUAUUUAGGUAUAUAUGUUAUGUAACACAUUUUUUUCCGGGACUUUUACAUAAGUAUAAAAGUUCACCGUAGCAUCCUUAUUUCGGUCUUAUAUUCGAUUAGGCAUUGUCCAUAUUUUCUCGGAAGAUUCAUACCGGGCAAAAGGUUAUAUGGGAAAAUCGUACAUACUCCAUACUUUGUCUCUUUCUCAUGUCAUUUAUCUAUCAUAACCUACUUACCAGGCAGCAUUCAAAGUUUUUUCCCUAGACGACGCAAUUUCGUUGGUUCUGUGGAGAAAUGUUUUACGUCAAUCAAAUACAAAUCGAAAUUACACAAAACAAUAUAACAUUAUGAACUAGUCAUACAAGCGCGUAAUAAUGUGAAAGAAGAAGUCUGGGGCGUUAAAAUUUGUAACAACAAUAAUUAUUUUAAUAUACUAUUUGUCAUACACCGAUGUGAACGAACCCGUAAUCUUUGUUUUCUGCUGUCCAUUACUGCAGUAUAUUUGUUUUUAAUAUUUAAAAUAUAUUGUCUUAAUAAUUUUGAACAAUAACAGCCAAUUAUACAGUAGCAAACAUCGAACGCAUAUUUUUAAGGCGUUCAGUCAAUAAAAACAAAACAAUACAAUAAAGUUAUUAUUUAAUUCUUAUUUGUAAAAUAAUUAUUGUAAUAUUUUUAAUAAAUAAUUAAUAAUUGUUUGCUGUAAUCGAAAUACGAUAACAUUAUAUUAUAAAGCCAAUGGAUUAAUGACCAACAAAUAUGUUUCAUAAUAUUUUAGACUGGCAUUAAUCGUAUUCAAAUAUUUCACAGAGUGAUCAAUCUGUCAUAAGACACUCAUUAUCUCGGAAAGUAUUAACUUUUUUUUAGAAUUUGUUUUAUACAAAUAUUUAAGAAAAAGCCGCUCUACAAUUUCUCAUGUAUGUUAUUUUUUUGUCACCCUUAUUUUUGGAGGUAAAACUACUACAUACUACCACUAUAUACAUAUUAAAAAUUCCAUAAAUAGAUUGAAUACUUCUUAGUUAAAAUACAUUUUGGUAUUGAAAUUUUUGAUUUCCAUCAAUCCGUUGACAAGAUAUUCCACUAAAAUAGUGCUCCACUACUCUCCCCUUACCCAAACUUAAAAGUGGAAUAUCUUGUUAACGGAUAAAUGGAAACUAAUAAUUUUAACACCAAAAUAUAUUUUAACUGCCUAAUACUCCAUUUAUUUAUGUUUUUUUUUAAUAUACGUUGUAAUUUGAAGAUCAAAAGUAGGUAGUGAUUUUACCACCAAAAAUAAGGAUGAAAAAAAUAACACAUAUGUGAAAUUGUAGAUUUGUACUUGUUUCUUAAAUGUUCAAUUAAACAAAUUCUGAAAAAAGUCAAAAAGUUAAUACUUUCCGAAGUAAUGAAUGUCCUGCGACGAUAGAUUGAUCAAUAUGUAUAUUGCGAAUUAAUCAUUGACUAAGUUAAAUAUUAAUAUUAAUAUUUACACAAUUAAUAAUAUUAAUUAAUCAAUGGUAUUAUCAAUAUUUUCUAAACUUAGAAUAAUUAUAUCUGUACCUAAUAAGCAUAAGCAUAAGCUCGGGCCAAUUUUUGAAUUGAAUGAAAAAUUGUAUUUUUAAAUGUUUAUUGAUACUAAUAAUAACAUUAAUAUUAUUAUAAAUGCAAAUUUAUUUCUGUCUGGUACGUUUUCACAGCUAAACGGCUGAACCGAUUGGAUGAAAUUUGGUAUGGAUCUUAAAUACGAUAAAGGAAAUUACAAGGAGAUUACUUUAUUAAAUUCUAAGUGUAGCGAGAGAUUUGUUGGUUUUAGUAUGAUGAUUUUAUUUUUGUGUGUCUGUGAGUAAUUUUUUUACCAGAAAUCUCCAAUGUAUCAAGUAUAAUAUAACUUUUCUGAAAGGAAAUUGUACAUAGUUGGUGCAUUAGGAGGUAAUUUUUUGAUUUUCCAAGGGGUUUUCAUAAUAAUUGUGCAAAAUUGGAAAACAAUUUUUAUGAAAAACCUAAAAAAAUAUACGACACGUCACGACGUCAGGAUUCCUUUUUUUUUUUUUUAAAUUUUACGACUUUUCUAUCGAAUAAAUUGCUCCAAUAGAAAACCAAUACAAUAGACCUUUUUUGUUGAAUUUUUUAUCUAGUUAGUAACCAAGAAUGUCGUUUUUUGUUUUUCCCUGUAGUUUUUUUAAUAAUUGUACAAAACCUAGGGAUCCCGAGUUCAAACCCAAGUUUCAAAACAAAUUGUUCGCAUUUUUUUCCUUUUACCUAAACAAGGAAAAAACAAAUGCAUUUUGCGUGUAUCUAAAGUCCCAAGCCAUCACUCGCUCGGACUAAUACAAUUGUGAAAUCGAUCAAAUGUGAAAAACCGAGAAAAACAUAGGAAAACCGGGAAAAACGCAGGAAAAACGAGAUAAUCGGUACAAUAUUAAACAAAUAUUAUUAAAGAAAAUAUAUAAUGUCUAUUUAAUUAUUUUAUCAUAAUAUGACAUAUACAUUGAUGACAGAGCAUCACUGAUAUAAACUGAACUCCACUCAGAAUCGUCUUUUCGUUAGCAAUGGUUUAUCGUUGCUUACAUAUAUACAUUAAAUUCUCUUCUGCAUCCUACCUUCCCAACUUCCCACCUACAACAAUGGUGCACCCACGUGCAAAGUAUGUCCGUCUUUUUUUUUUGCUCAUUAUGAAUUUUGAGUGAAGGGACAGAUAAAACAGGGAUGACUUUUUUUUUUUAAUUUUUUGCUCGGUAUUGGAUGGAUAAUGGGUAUACUUUUGUUAACUGCAUGGGCUGUCAAAAUUCCUCUGUGCGCCACUGUACAGAUAUGUAAACUGCACACUAGCAAAGCUUGGUAAUAUUAUACAGAUAAUGCAUCAUUAGAAUAUCGAUUUGAUUUAUGUAGUAUUUUAAAAUAUUAUAUUUAUUAUUUAUAUAAAACAUUUUUUUUCUGCGUAUUAUAAUUUGACAGUUUAACAUGGUCUACCUAUGUAUUCAUUUUGUAUGUUUAAUGCUUAAUAAUCUCGAAAUUUAUAUUUAUGAUGAGUUUUUUUUUCAUUUGAGUAAACUUUUUCAAUAAAAUUGUCA
rnacentral:lncRNA from 1 species